rnacentral:lncRNA from 1 species
GACGCAUGGGAUCGCACGAGAUUGUCGACGAAGAAGCCUGCCGCGGGAUCUUUGGCAUGCAUUGCGAGAGGGUCGUGGACGGCUGGGAAAGGGAAUGCUCAAUCUGGGAAGUCCUUGAUUUGGAAUCAGGAAGCUGACUGCAGAUGGCUGCAUUGGGGGCUUGGACAGUUGAAGAUGAAGCGUGGGAUAGCCCGCCAAUAC